AAAUCUGAUCAAACUACUCAGGGCCUUUAAUAAGACACUUUGUACGAAUUUUUGGAAACGCCUGCUUAGGUAGGGGUUG
rfam:Ancylostoma duodenale strain Zhejiang A_duodenale-1.0_Cont13145.1, whole genome shotgun sequence.